UGCCGUUUGGCCAACCUGCGUGCUGAAGUGGCCUGGGCAGAUGUAGAAGUUCCAGCAACCAUGGCUCAUGUACCAGAGUGCAGCUUCUCUCUGGCUGGAGAAGCAAAGGGCUGUGAUAUUCCAGGCCCCUUAACAGCUCAGCCUCGGCUAAGCACAGCUGCAGGGAGUACUCGAUGCCAGGUCUCAUGAACUCCCUUCUGGAUUACUCCGGCAAUCCCUCCUACUUGGAAUUCCAACUGCUCACCUCCUUUUUGCCAGUCAGGAGUUGCGAACUCCAGUGCCUACAGGGGAUGAACAGGUGGUAUAGGAAUCCAAUCAGAGCCUUCUCAUCAUCUGGCUCCUUCCUGCCGCUGUCCUGCAUACUUGGGUCAUGGAAGAUUCUGCUAGAGAGAAGACGCUAUGGAUGGAAGCGGACCGAUGGCCAAGUCCCAGGCUUCACAGAGACCGAGGGCUAGCUCAGGCACCAGUGCUUAGAGUUCCUGUGCGCCAGAAAGCUUGGUGGACAUGGGACUCACGGCCCACAGAGAUUCCAAUGCCGCAGUUCCGUGCUCGAGCCUAGCAAUCUGUAUCCCAACUCCUGACAGCUGGUUCUGAUGCAGGGUGAAGGUCCAUGCCUUCAGACUGGAAAGCAAAAGGGCAGACAGUUGGUCAUGACGGAGAACAUCUGUUUACAACCCACGCUGGGGACAGACAGGCACGUGAGGAAGUCGUGGAGUGCUGCCCUGGCUUGGCAGCUCUUUUGGCUACCCUUCAGCUGCCCAUCUUCUUCCAUCAAUCCUCACCUUCCCACGGGCUACAAGCAUUACCCAGGCUCCGAGGAACAAACCCCGGGGGAUUUCAUGAAGCAGAUGCCGGACAAUGAGGGGCCGAUGGGUUGAGAAGCUAAAAGCGAAAGUGGGGGCCUGAGCGGACACUGCUUUUAGCCACUGAGUCCAAGAAUGCGAGGUUAGCUGAGCCUCCACCUCUAGGCCCAUGAGAAAAUAUUCCAAGGUGCCCAAAGCAGCAACCUCUGUGGAGCUCCCAGCUUCCUGUAGGAAGUUUACACUGAGUUCCCACCCAAGGGGCUACCAGUCUCCUCGGGUCUCCUCUCAAGGCCGUAGCCCCAUUAAUAUUCUCAAGGCUGGGCCCAGAGACUCUGACUCUACUUCACCCUCUCCUCAGCCCAGUUACUCAUCAGAUCCUAACCAUCCCAUCCAAAGAAUGUUCUAGACCUGUCCCCAUCAUCUUCUGGACACCACAACAUGCCUUAGUUCAGGCCUCUUCCUUUUGGCCCUGGGCAGUGUGGGG